AGUGAACGCUGGCGGUAGGCCUAACACAUGCAAGUCGAACGGCAGCACAGAGGAGCUUGCUCCUUGGGUGGCGAGUGGCGGACGGGUGAGGAAUACAUCGGAAUCUACUCUGUCGUGGGGGAUAACGUAGGGAAACUUACGCUAAUACCGCAUACGACCUACGGGUGAAAGCGGGGGCUCUUCGGACCUUGCGCGAUUGAAUGAGCCGAUGUCGGAUAGCUAGUUGGCGGGGUAAAGGCCCACCAAGGCGACGAUCCGUAGCUGGUCUGAGAGGAUGAUCAGCCACACUGGAACUGAGACACGGUCCAGACUCCUACGGGAGGCAGCAGUGGGGAAUAUUGGACAAUGGGCGCAAGCCUGAUCCAGCCAUACCGCGUGGGUGAAGAAGGCCUUCGGGUUGUAAAGCCCUUUUGUUGGGAAAGAAAUCCAUCUGGUUAAUACCCGGGUGGGAUGACGGUACCCAAAGAAUAAGCACCGGCUAACUUCGUGCCAGCCGCCGCAGUAA
rnacentral:rRNA from 1 species